GUUGUAUGUCACGUGUGUUGUCGUUGCUGAGUGGUUAAGGUGAUGGACUAGAAAUCCAUUGAGUUUCCACUGAGAUUCUAUUGAGAUGUGAACUGAAGACCUUGGACCUGAAAGACUUGGAAGAUGUCACCUUGGACUCUGAGACUGGAUGAUGUAGCCUAUAUUUUGUCACUUUGACAUUUCAUAUGUCGAGGUUAUAAAAGUAAAUUUAUUUAUGAA